rnacentral:rRNA from 1 species
GGAUUAGAUACCCUGGUAGUCCAUGCCGUAAACGAUGUGUGUUAGACGUUGGAAAUUUACUUUCAGUGUCGCAGUGAAAACGAUAAACACACCGCCUGGGGAGUACGACCGCAAGGUUAAAACUCAAAUGAAUUGACGGGGGCCCGCACAAGCGGUGGAGCAUGUGGUUUAAUUCGAAGCAACGCGCAGAACCUUACCAACACUUGACAUGUUCGUCGCGACUCUAAGAGAUUAGAGUUUUCGGUUCGGCCGGACGAAACACAGGUGCUGCAUGGCUGUCGUCAGCUCGUGCCG